AUUGAACGCUGGCGGCAGGCCUAACACAUGCAAGUCGAACGAGUGGCGGACGGGUGAGUAAUGUCUGGGAAACUGCCUGAUGGAGGGGGAUAACUACUGGAAACGGUAGCAAAUACCGCAUACCAUCGGAUGUGCCCAGAUGGGAUUAGCUAGUAGGUGGGGAAAAGGCUCUCAUAGGCGACGAUCCCUAGCUGGUCUGAGAGGAUGACCAGACACACGGGAACUGAGACACGGUACAUACUCCUACGGGAGGCAGCAGUGGGGAAUAUUGCACAAUGGGAGCAAGCCUGAUGCAGCCAUGCCGCGUGGAGGAAGAAGGCCUUCGGGUUGUAAAGUACGUUCAGCGGGGAGGCGGUACCCGCAGAAGAAGCACCGACUCACACCGUGCCAGCAGACGCGGUAAUAC
rnacentral:rRNA from 1 species